UACAGAGGUGGCAAGCGUUGUUCGGAAUUACUGGGCGUAAAGGGCGAGUAGGUGGCCAUCUAAGUCAGACGUGAAAUCCCCCGGCUUAACCUGGGAACUGCGUCUGAUACUGGACGGCUUGAGUAUGGGAGAGGAACGUAGAAUUCCAGGUGUAGCGGUGAAAUGCGUAGAUAUCGGGAGGAACACCAGUGGCGAAGGCGACUACCUGGCCUGUUCUUGACGCUGAGGCGCGAAAGCUAGGGGAGCAAACGGG
rnacentral:rRNA from 1 species